GCCUGGGUGGCGGAACCUGGUAGACGCAAGGGACUUAAAAUCCCUCGGCCGAACGGCCGUGCCGGUUCGAUCCCGGCCCCAGGCACCA
rnacentral:tRNA from 1 species